AGGGAUGUAGCGCAGCUUGGUAGCGCCCUUGUUUUGGGUACAAAAUAAAAUGUCACGGGUUCAAAUCCUGUCAUCCCUA
rnacentral:tRNA from 1 species